AGUGAACGCUGGCGGCAUGCCUAACACAUGCAAGUCGAGCGGAAGGACAGGAAGCUUUUGCUCCUACGGGUGGCGAGGGGCGGACGGGUAAGGCAUAGAUCGGAUUCUUCUAUUUCGUGGAUAACAACGUGAGGAAACAUCUGCUAAUACCGCAUAUAUCCUACGGGUGAGAGCAGGAGAGCUAGGCACCUUUCGCGAUAGAAUUAGACGGCGUCGGAUUAGCUAGUUGGUGAGGUAAGGGCCCACCAAGGCGACGAUGCGUAGCUGGUCUGAGAGGAUGAUCAGCCACACUGGAACUGAGACACGGUCCAGACUCCUACGGGAGGCAGCAGUAGGGAAUCUUCGACAAUGGGCGCAAGCCUGAUGCAGCAACGCCGCGUGAGUGAUGAAGGCCUUCGGGUCGUAAAGCUCUUUUAUUGGGGAAGAACAGAAGCGUGAGUAACCAUCGAUGUCUUGACGGUACCUAAACAGUAAGCACCGGCUAACUUCGUG
rnacentral:rRNA from 1 species